rnacentral:rRNA from 1 species
GCAAUCCUGGUGGCGAGUGGCGAACGGGUGAGUAAUAUAUCGGAACGUGCCCAGUCGUGGGGGAUAACGCAGCGAAAGCUGUGCUAAUACCGCAUACGAUCUACGGAUGAAAGUGGGGGACCCGCAAGGACCUCAUGCUCAUGGAGCGGCCGAUAUCUGAUUAGCUAGUUGGUAGGGUAAAAGCCUACCAAGGCAUCGAUCAGUAGCUGGUCUGAGAGGACGACCAGCCACACUGGAACUGAGACACGGUCCAGACUCCUACGGGAGGCAGCAGUGGGGAAUUUUGGACAAUGGGCGAAAGCCUGAUCCAGCAAUGCCGCGUGAGUGAAGAAGGCCUUCGGGUUGUAAAGCUCUUUUGUCAGGGAAGAAACGGUGGUUUCUAAUACAGAUCACUAAUGACGGUACCUGAAGAAUAAGCACCGUCUUUUGUCAGGGAAGAAACGGUUGUUCCUAAUACGGAUGGCUAAUGACGGUACCUGAAGAAUAAGCACCGGCUAACUACGUGCCAGCAGCCGCGGUAAUACGUAGGGUGCAAGCGUUAAUCGGAAUUACUGGGCGUAAAGCGUGCGCAGGCGGUUAUGUAAGACAGAUGUGAAAUGCCCGGGCUCAACCUGGGAACUGCAUUUGUGACUGCAUGGCUAGAGUUUGGCAGAGGGGGGUAGAAUUCCACGUGUAGCAGUGAAAUGCGUAGAUAUGUGGAGGAACACCGAUGGCGAAGGCAGCCCCCUGGGUCAAGACUGACGCUCAUGCACGAAAGCGUGGUGAGCAAACAGGAUUAGAUACCCUGGUAGUCCACGCCCUAAACGAUGUCUACUAGUUGUCGGGUCUUAAUUGACUUGGUAACGCAGCUAACGCGUGAAGUAGACCGCCUGGGGAGUACGGUCGCAAGAUUAAAACUCAAAGGAAUUGACGGGGACCCGCACAAGCGGUGGAUGAUGUGGAUUAAUUCGAUGCAACGCGAAAACCUUACCUACCCUUGACAUGGCUGGAAUCCCUGAAAGAUCCAGA